rnacentral:tRNA from 1 species
UAAAACCUGCAGGAUAUUACCCUACAUCUUCUGAAUGCAACCC